rnacentral:lncRNA from 1 species
GGCCUUGCUCUUAUGUCAUCUGACUAAAGGUUUCAUAGACCAAAGAUAACCAUCCAACUUGUUGGAAUACUGAAACAAUUGCUGCCUGCUGUCCACACACCACAUAAAAUAUGUGGAUUUCGUAAAUUCUGCAAAAAAGGUUUGGAAGCUGAUCAAUCAAUACUGGAACUCCCUCUUCUCCAGAAGAGACAUCCUGGCCUCCAUGCAGAGGAAUGUGUGGAUGGACAUAUAUUUAAGGAAGACACUAAACCAGAAACUACUACAUUACACCCUCUUAGAAGACUUCUAAGAUUGUUGUCAUGCCUACCACAGACAUUCAGAUGAUAUGUAUUCUUGAUUGUGAUUUCAUGUUUGGACCUGAUGAAGGAGUUUGAAGUCUCCAGAGCAGCAAAGAGAGUGGGGAGUAGAACUCAUCAUCUUUAGGUCACUCAUCAUCG